rnacentral:rRNA from 1 species
CAGUAGCCGCGGAAAUACGUAGGGUGCAAGCGUUAAUCGGAAUUACUGGGCGUAAAGCGUGCGCAGGCGGUUUUGUAAGACAGAGGUGAAAUCCCCGGGCUCAACCUGGGAACUGCCUUUGUGACUGCAAGGCUAGAGUACGGCAGAGGGGGAUGGAAUUCCGCGUGUAGCAGUGAAAUGCGUAGAUAUGCGGAGGAACACCGAUGGCGAAGGCAAUCCCCUGGGCCUGUACUGACGCUCAUGCACGAAAGCGUGGGGAGCAAACAGGAUUAGAUACCCGUGUAGUCCCUGUCUCUUAUAA